rnacentral:rRNA from 1 species
AUUGAACGCUGGCGGCAGGCUUAACACAUGCAAGUCGAGCGAGCGGCGGACGGGUGAGUAAUGUCUGGGAAACUGGCUUAUGGAGGGGGAUAACUACUGGAAACUGUAGCUAAUACCGCAUACCAUCGGAUGUGCCCAGAUGGGAUUAGGUAGUAGGUGUGGUAAUGGCUCACCUAGCCGACGAUCCCUAGCUGGUCUGAGAGGAUGACCAGCCACACUGGAACUGAGACACGGUCCAGACUCCUACGGGAGGCAGCAGUGGGGAAUAUUGCGCAAUGGGGGCAAGCCUGAUGCAGCCAUGCCGCGUGAAUGAAGAAGGCCUUCGGGUUGUAAAGUACUUUCGGUGGGGAGGCGUUACCUGCAGAAGAAGCACCGGCUAACUCCGUGCCAGCAGCCGCGGUAAUAC